rnacentral:rRNA from 1 species
GAUGAACGCUAGCGGCAGGCCUAACACAUGCAAGUCGAGGGGUAACUAGAGUGAUAGCAAUAUUACUUUGGCUAGACCGGCGCACGGGUGCGUAACACGUAUGCAACCUACCUUAUACUGGGGAAUAACUUCGAGAAAUCGGCGCUAAUACCCCAUAAAACUGCGGAGAGGCAUCUCGUUGCCGUUAAAGCUCCGGCGGUAUAAGAUGGGCAUGCGUCCAAUUAGCUAGUUGGUGAGGUAACGGCUCACCAAGGCUACGAUUGGUAGGGGUUCUGAGAGGAUGAUCCCCCACACUGGUACUGAGACACGGACCAGACUCCUACGGGAGGCAGCAGUGAGGAAUAUUGCGCAAUGGACGAAAGUCUGACGCAGCCAUGCCGCGUGCAGGAUGACGGCCCUAUGGGUUGUAAACUGCUUUUGUACGGGAAUAAACCCUUCUACGUGUAGGAGGCUGAAGGUACCGUAAGAAUAAGCACCGGCUAACUCCGUGCCAGCAGCCGCAGUAA